GUCCUCAUAGCUCAGCAGGAUAGAGCAAUCGCCUCCUAAGCGGUAGAUAUCGGUUCGAGUCCGGUUGGGGACACCA
rnacentral:tRNA from 1 species